CCUUAUAGAAGCAGGGUUCCCUUAGGCCUCCCCUGGGUUGUAGUGGGCCGGGAGGGAGCCGGGAGUGGCCUGAAGGAGAGUAGGUUCCUCCCCGGGGACGGCGGCAGUAGGGCUGGGGGAUUGGGAGAAGAGAAGGCAGUGCCCGCCCCUCCCGGCCGCGCACCGGAGCGCCUCUCCCAGGAGCUUGGAGAGUAGAAGGGACGAUCGCUUCUGGAGUCGCAGGAAGAGUUUCCGGCCGCUGGAGAUGACCUCGCAGACGACGCAUGGUCGUGGAGCUGCCUUGCAGCCAAGAAACUGGAGUCCACCGGCGCAAAAGGACUGCCUCAGAGCCAACGGCCGGGCAGGACUUCAGCCUCCCCUGUGGGGAGGCACUCUGCCAUAUCAGAGAGGCUUUGCAAUCAACCCUCCCCCAGUUAUGUCUCCACCAGUCUCACUCUAUUUAUCAGAUGUAAGGAACUGAGAGGCAAGCAGAGGCAGAGGAAGUGUUUUUAGUGGCUGCAUGACAGCUCUGGAGCUGACCCAGCUGCCAUGGUGGUCUGGAGCCAACAGACUGAGAAUGGAAAUCUGGCUCCACCCGUGUUCAUGUCUCUGCUCUUCAGCUUGUGUCUGUCAACUGUGGAUGAUCCAAGUGCCACCUGAAGAACCUCCCCACCCCUGAGAAGUGUGUCCUGACCAAACACCCACACACCACACACCCCCGCACACUAUGGCAGGGGUCAGAGGCUCUCUUCUGUGCUCCUAGGGUUCUAUGAUUUAAAUCCUGCCAUGGCUUUUCUCACACAACAGGGGGCAGUCAUCUGCUUGCAGGUUGCAGCCCCCAUCAUCCCUGCAUCCCCAAACUGACCCCAGUAGCGGAGACCUAGUGUCUGGUCGGUGCUUCGAACUUGUUUCCUCAAUGAAUGAAGCACCUCGACUCAAUGUACUUGGUCAAUAAAGGGUAGCUCUUCUUGGA